rnacentral:misc_RNA from 1 species
GUGAAUCAUCAAAUUUUUGAACGCAAAUUGCACUCUCCUCGGAGAGUAUGCCUGUUUGAGGGUCAGCCUAUAAAAAUCGACACUGUUGCUGUUUCGCGGUGGCGUUCGUCGGAGAGUGGGUCAUCUUAAAUGUUUUGGUUUUAAGCGACUUAAAAUUUUUUUAUUGGUUCCUGGAAGUUAUUUAGGUUUAUUUAAUUUCAAUGUU